rnacentral:scRNA from 14 species
AGGCCCAAGGGUAGAGCUUUUAUGGAGACAUCCCAUUUAGGAAAGCACACAAUUGAACCAGAGUGAUUCCCAGGGGAACAUUUUUACAAGGGAUUAGAAUCCCCAAGUGACAGAUGCAGACAUUAUAGCACCCAUUUGAUGAUCAUGUAUGAUACUGAAAACAGAA